rnacentral:lncRNA from 1 species
CGUGCGAUCGUGACUCCCAUCCAUCUUCUCCUUCUUUCCGCCGAUCUCUUCCUUCCAUUUUCUCCUUCCGCCGCAGCCCAGCAACCGCCGUAGCCCAGCAACCGCCACCCGAGACUUCUCUUCUUCCGUUUCUCUUUCUUUUUCACCAUACCCAGCCGCGAAGCAAGACCGUGCCGCUGCCAGUCCAGAUUUGCGUUGCAGUCGUCCCGCGCGCCGAAUUGCCGUCUCCAUCUCCGUUCGCGAAGCAAAACCGCCGCCGCUCGCCGAACCCAACCGCCACCCUCUCUUUUCUUCUUCAGAUCUAAACCGUCGCGCCCAUCCGCCUGUAACCGUCGUGCCUCUCGCUCACAACCGUCGUGCCUCCCUCGCAAAGCAAAUCGUCGUCCAGAUCUGCCUCGCCGUGAACCAUUGGGCUCAUAUUUGGGUAAGAACAAGUUAUGGUUUUUGUUGGUUUCUUGGUUUUUGUUGGAUGCUGCCAUUGGAUUUAAUUGUUGGCGAAAUGCUUAAUUCUUGAAGGUACAUCUUGAUUCAGUGAGCGAAUCCUUGAUUUUCCAAAAGGUUGAAGUGGACUUGAUUUUCCACUUCUUGGGUAAGUUGUGGAAUUUACAUAUGGG